rnacentral:lncRNA from 1 species
CAAAUUGGAGUGGCAAGUGUCAUCAGGGGGAUCCUAAUGCUGACACCAAUGGUAGCACUUCUUACAAGACUUUCCUACUGCCACAGCCAAGUACUCCACCACUCCUACUGCUACCACCCUGAUGUGAUGAAGCUCUCAUGCACAGACACCAGAAUCAACAGUGCAGUUGGGCUGACUGCCAUGUUCUCUACUGUUGGUGUAGACUUACUUCUCAUCCUCCUUUUGCUUUGACAAGUCAUGGUUCUAAGUGUUUUUUGUAUGUAUUAACAUAUUUUAUAUCUAAAGCAAUGUUAUAAGAUAAUCACUUUAAUUAUCAAUAAGAAAAUUGAGGCAUGAAAUGUUAAGUAGCUUGCUUAAACAGCUAGUAACUGGUGUUGCUGAUGGCAGAGCACAUCCAUGCAGACUGACUCCAGAGUCCCCCACACUCUUAACUUAAAUGCUAAACUUAUAUUUAUAAAUUAUGUACUUAUAUAUGUAAAUUAUAUUUAUAUUUAUAAAUAUAAAUAUAGAGAGAAGUUCAGGCAAUUUUUACUAGGAAACAUAAAGAAGUAAGUGCAUGCAUAUAUUUCAAUGCCACACUAAUAUCACUAAUUUAAGAUGGGCUGUAUAGUUGGUAUCAGGUCCAGAAAGGAAGUAGAAGUAAUCAUUCGUAUCUACAGGCUUGCCCCCUCGCUUUAUGGAGAUCUCUGCCAACUGCACCUUAUUACAGGGCCCUUGAUGUUAUAAUAAUUAUAAUAGUAAUACCUCUCCCUCAAUUUCUUCCUGUAUUCACUCUCAUCCUUUCCUGUCUUAUUUUUAAUUUUUAGCAUUUUUAUUCCCCAACAUAUUACAUAUAGGCUGUUUCUUUUCUGGUUUCCUCAUCAUUCCCUGUAGGAAAUUUAUUAAGUGACUAUAGUAUUUAUAGUACUGUAAGAAUUAUGUCAAAUCCUCAGCCUGUUUGACAACAACAUUUCACUUGAAUGUUUCAUAAUCAUCUUAGAAUCAACAUCUAAUAUAUACUAAUAUUCCCAUCAAGGAAAAAGCAUGCUCACCCACAGUCUUCUCUAACUCAGUAACUCUACCUUCCAGUUUGUUGAGACAAAGCACUUGGAGUUAUCCCUGAUGCCUUUCUAUCACCCCGAUGCUACAUCUAACCUUUUAGUAAAUCCUGGUGACC